rnacentral:rRNA from 1 species
GAUGAACGCUGGCGGCGUGCCUAAUACAUGCAAGUCGAGCGAACAGACGAGGAGCUUGCUCCUCUGACGUCAGCGGCGGACGGGUGAGUAACACGUGGAUAACCUACCUAUAAGACUGGGAUAACUUCGGGAAACCGGAGCUAAUACCGGAUAAUAUAUUGAACCGCAUGGUUCAAUAGUGAAAGACGGUUUUGCUGUCACUUAUAGAUGGAUCCGCGCCGCAUUAGCUAGUUGGUAAGGUAACGGCUUACCAAGGCAACGAUGCGUAGCCGACCUGAGAGGGUGAUCGGCCACACUGGAACUGAGACACGGUCCAGACUCCUACGGGAGGCAGCAGUAGGGAAUCUUACGCAAUGGGCGAAAGCCUGACGGAGCAACGCCGCGUGAGUGAUGAAGGUCUUCGGAUCGUAAAACUCUGUUAUUAGGGAAGAACAAAUGUGUAAGUAACUAUGCACGUCUUGACGGUACCUAAUCAGAAAGCCACGGCUAACUACGUG